rnacentral:misc_RNA from 1 species
GUCAUUUCAACCUAGGUCCAAGUACCUCCCCAAGAGAUGUUACAGAUUUAUCAGAUUGCAAGAUGGACAACUUUGUUCCUGCCUAUGAAGUUGUCAAAUUUUACCUGUUUUUUGAGAAAUGGAGGCGUGGAGAAAUUGAGCAUUCUGAGCAUUAUCUGUCAAACCUGAAAGCAGUGUGUAGACCAUCUGGUACUUUUGUUCACCCAUCUGGUGUUGAGAAAUCCCUUCAGGAAUGUGUAACUACAUUCGGAACAUGUCAUGCUGACAAACAUGGGAAACAAUAUCGUGUUUGGGUCGAUCAAGUUUUACCUUCACAGGUUGGUUCAGACUCAUGGUUAGUGAGUUUCAAGAAGUGGGAGCUCUCUGGUGAAAACAGGCGAUGCUGCAUAACUACAGUCCUAUUAAGUUCAAAGAAUAAGACUGUUGCAGACGGGCUCACUUGGACUCACGUACAUCAGACAUGGCUGCACGACGAUGCAUCAAGUGACUCCGCGUCCUGGUUCUUUUAGAUUGCCUUUCUCAGUGUAUUAACUCUGAAAACUCAGCACCCCUUUUACCAGUUUCACACCCAGAAUAAACACAAUAUACAAACUAUAGUUGAUAAUCAAUGUAUUAACUUUCUCCUCCUUUGAUAAUCAAUUAUUACCAUCUAAACCAGUGAAGAUGGCUUUGCCU